ACAUACGGCCAUAGGCUCCAGAAUUCAAUGUCUCUCGUUCGCUCGGCAAUAUUUAAGCUGGAGACCGGCUGAUUAGUAGUCAGGUGGGUGACCACUGGCGAAUCCCAGCUGCUGUAUGUU
rfam:Setosphaeria turcica Et28A unplaced genomic scaffold SETTTscaffold_2, whole genome shotgun sequence.